rnacentral:misc_RNA from 1 species
GAGGAAAGAAAUUGUGAUGAAUUUACAAUUUUUCCCUAUUUUAAAAAGAACUUAAAUAAAAAGGAUAAUUUUGUAAUUUUAUUUUGUAUAGUUAAUUUUUUCUUCCAACUCUUCUUAUUUUCUCUCCAAUAGUCCAAUUUGGAGAGAAAAUGAUGAGGAAAAUGAGGGUCAUUUUACUUUCUCCCUUUAUUUUGCCCUCUUCCCAAACAAUGAAAAGGGCCAUUCUCUUAUUUUUUUUCAUCAAAUUAUAUUCCUUUCCCCUUAAUUUCCAAAUGUUCAAACAGUGGCUUAUUGGUGAGUGACUUGGGUGUAGGAUGGUGUUGUGCUCUAGUUUUGAAUCUGUCAAUAUAAUCAGGGUAGAAAUUCUUACUUGAGAUUUGGGACAGGCACAAAAAUGAAAUUCGUGAUGAAUAGAAAAAAAGUCCUAGAAUAUGAUUUUCUUCCCCCCUCCUACCAUAACUAAUAGGUCCAAUUCCAACAAUUUUGUGUCAAUCAAGCCAAUUUUAUCAUGAGGGAUUAUAAUAUUAUUGACUGGGCCUUUCUAAAUUUCAUUUGUGAAAUGAAAGGCUAUUGAACCAUGUCAAAGUGAGUGGUUAAGAUGUGGAUUUAGUCCUUUAAUUUUGCACUUCUGAUAAUGUUAAAGGUUGGAGGGACAACAAUAGGGCCAUUUAAC